rnacentral:tRNA from 1 species
GCGGGUGUAGCUCAGUGGUAGAGCGUCAGCUUCCCAAGCUGAAUGUCGUGGGUUCGAUCCCCAUCACCCGCUCCA